rnacentral:rRNA from 1 species
UACGUAGGGUGCGAGCGUUAAUCGGAAUUACUGGGCGUAAAGGGCUCGUAGGUGGCCAACUAAGUCAGACGUGAAAUCCCUCAGCUUAACUGGGGAACUGCGUCUGAUACUGGAUGGCUUGAGUUUGGGAGAGGGAUGCGGAAUUCCAGGUGUAGCGGUGAAAUGCGUAGAUAUCUGGAGGAACACCGGUGGCGAAGGCGGCAUCCUGGACCAACACUGACACUGAGGAGCGAAAGCCAGGGGAGCAAACGGG